rnacentral:lncRNA from 1 species
GGUAGAACAGGAUGAGACAGGGAGGAACGGAGAGAGUAGAACAGGAUAGGACAGGGAGGAACAGAGAGAGAGUAGAACAGGAUGAGACAGGGAGGAACGGAGAGAGUAGAACAGGAUAGGACAGGGAGGAACAGAGAGAGAGUAGAACAGGAUGAGACAGGGAGGAACAGAGAGAGAGUAGAACAGGAUGAGACAGGGAGGAACAGAGAGAGAGUAGAACAGGAUGAGACAGGGAGGAACAGAGAGAGAGUAGAACAGGAUGAGACAGGGAGGAACAGAGAGAGUAGAACAGGAUGAGACAGGGAGGAACAGAGAGAGUAGAACAGGAUGAGACAGGGAGGAACAGAGAGAGAGUAGAACAGGAUGAGACAGGGAGGAACAGAGAGAGAGUAGAACAGGAUGAGACAGGGAGGAACAGAGAGAGUAGAACAGGAUUAGACAGGGAGGAACAGAGAGAGUAGAACAGGAUGGACAGGGAGGAACAGAGAGAGUAGAACAGGAUGAGACAGGGAGGAACAGAGAGAGUAGAACAGGAUGA